GUGGGGAAUAUUGCACAAUGGGCGCAAGCCUGAUGCAGUAACGCCGCGUGAGGGAUGACGGCCUUCGGGUUGUAAACCUCUUUUGUACGGGAAGAAGGAAGUGACGGUACUGUACGAAUAAGUCCCGGCUAACUACGUGCCAGCAGCCGCGGUAAUACGUAGGGGACGAGCGUUGUCCGGAAUUACUGGGCGUAAAGGGCGCGCAGGCUGUGCUGCAAGUCAGCUGUGAAAUGUCUGGGCUUAACCCGGGCAUGCGGUUGAGACUGCAGUGCUGGAGUGCUGUAGAGGCAAGUGGAAUUCCCAGUGUAGCGGUGAAAUGCGUAGAUAUUGGGAAGAACACCGGUGGCGAAGGCGACUUGCUGGGCAGCAACUGACGCUGAGGCGCGAAAGCCAGGGGAGCAAACGGGAUUAGAUACCCGGGUAGUCC
rnacentral:rRNA from 1 species